UUGUGAUGUCCAGGGGCUUGUACUACGAAGCAGGAUUUGGGGUUAGCGAGAUAUCUUCAGGUUAAAAAUCUUGAAUUGUUGGGAUUUGAGUCUUGUGCCUUGGUAAUUUUCUUCCUGUGUGUUUUGCUGCGCUGCUGAAUGCUCUGCAUUUUCAGGCUGGGCAGGGCCAUGGUCGAGGAGGACUCACUCGCUCUCCACCGCAUGAUAAUCAGCGCUCCUAUUAAACCGGCUUCUCCCCGUGAUGCGGCGCCAGAGGAUUCACUCCCCUACGAGCGAGCCUCCUCAGCCUGACGUCUCCCCAGCCCAGCCAUCUCGAGUCAGUCACCAGCAGCAGCCCUUCGAUUUUCCCCCACUGGAUCCAAGCACCACGAGCACCCUCUCGCCGGAACAUGGAUUCCUCCCCUGCACUGGAGCACACUGCUGGAGCCCCCAUAAGCCCUCUCACUCCUUCCCCACGAAUAAAAACCCUCUUUAUUAUUGA